rnacentral:lncRNA from 1 species
CUUCUAGUUGUAGCAUGUGGGACACUGCCCGCAACGUGGCCUGAUGAGCGGUGCCGUGUCUGCACCCAGGAUCCGAACCCAUGAAACCCUGGGCGGUGAAGCGGUGCCGAGAACUCAACCACUCGGCCUCGGGGCUGGCCGUAAAGUUUAUGUCUAUUGAAUUGCCUAGAGCCAGGCACAGCUGAGAUGCAUUUAGCUCUGGGAGCUGCUCAUUUGCAAUCAUUUCUUCAAGGAGAUUCUGUGAGAGUCACUCAUUUACAGACAUUUUAUUUCAUGCUUGUGUCUAAAAGUCACUUUAAGAGUCAGUCGGAGCCAUUUUCUCACCUCCGUUGCUAUGGCUGAGCCAUGUGUGACCACCGACCUGCUGCUUAAUAAUGUCAUUUUGUGACUGCCCCUCCCACGGGAGCCCCGGAAUUCAACUUACAUUUUCAAUGGAUGGAGGAAAGGAAAUACCAAUUUUGUACAAAGUGUAAUCCACAAACAGCAACCCAGUACUUCAGGACGGCCCAGAGAACCUUGGAGGGACUUUCAGAGAAGCUUUUCUUCCUGAACUCUUGGGGAGUGUCUCUCCUUUCUGAAAGCUUUGUUUCUUACAAUGCCAGCCAGCGUCUUUUUGAAAGGCAGCCGCCUCAGGUUAUAAGAUGGAGUGUCUCUCAAACUUCAAUGUGCAGAAAAAUCACCUGGGGAUCUUAUUAAAAUGCAGAAUCUGAUCCAAUAGGUCAGGGUGGGGCCUGAGAGUUUGAUUUCUAAUAAACUCUCAGCUGCUGAUGGUGGUCCAAGGACCACACUUUGAGUAGCAAGGAGGUGGACAAAGAAAGCCACCUGGCGACAACGCCCUUCUUGAAAAAUAACACUUGGAGCCCAGCCAUUCCUUCCCUCAACACCAGCUCUCGGGGAGCUUCAUUAUUCUGAGUUUAAUUAUUGACUCUUUAGGGUCUAAUUUGCGAACCAUGCUAAUGUUAGCGCAUCACAGCACUGGGUGGAAGUGAGAAAGUUGUAGUUGUUUACAGUCUAUACAAACUCGGGAGACGGUGUUACCUCUGAUCGCACUUACCAUCGUUAAUAGGCACGCUCCUGUAAAGAGUCCCACCAGGUAUAAUUGUUUGCUGUGCAACAUUCCAAAGCAAUAGACUGAAAAAAGAACAAAAUUAA